rnacentral:rRNA from 1 species
AACGAACGCUGGCGGCAUGCCUAACACAUGCAAGUCGAACGAAGGCUUCGGCCUUAGUGGCGCACGGGUGCGUAACGCGUGGGAAUCUGCCCUUGGGUUCGGAAUAACAGUGAGAAAUUACUGCUAAUACCGGAUAAUGUCUUCGGACCAAAGAUUUAUCGCCCAGGGAUGAGCCCGCGUUGGAUUAGCUAGUUGGUGAGGUAAAGGCUCACCAAGGCGACGAUCCAUAGCUGGUCUGAGAGGAUGAUCAGCCACACUGGGACUGAGACACGGCCCAGACUCCUACGGGAGGCAGCAGUGGGGAAUAUUGGACAAUGGGCGAAAGCCUGAUCCAGCAAUGCCGCGUGAGUGAUGAAGGCCUUAGGGUUGUAAAGCUCUUUUACCCGGGAAGAUAAUGACUGUACCGGGAGAAUAAGCUCCGGCUAACUCCGUGCCAGCAGCCGCAGUAA